GAUGAACGCUGGCGGCGUGCCUAACACAUGCAAGUCGAGCGAAGCGGGGACGGGUGAGAAUCACGUGGAUAACCUCCCAUAAGACUGGGAUAACUUCGGGAAACCGGAGCUAAACCGGCUUCUUAUAGAUGGAUCCGCGCUGCAUUAGCUAGUUGGUAAGGUAACGGCUGACCAAGGCAACGAUACAUCGCCGACCUGAGAGGAUGACCAGCCACACUGGAACUGAGACACGGUCCAGACUCCUACGGGAGGCAGCAGUGGGGAAUCUUCCACAAUGGGCGAAAGCCUGACAGAGCAACGCCGCGUGAGUGAUGAAGGUCUUCGGUUCGUAAAGCUCUGUUAUUGGGGAGGCGGUACCUGAUCAGAAAGCCACGGCUAACUACGUGCCAGCAGCCGCGGUAAUAC
rnacentral:rRNA from 1 species